GUAACGAAUAUUCCGCAAUGCACGAAAGUGUGACGGAGCAAUGCCGCGUGCAGGAUGAAGCAACUUCGUUGUGUAAACUGCUGUCAGGAGCGAGAAACCAUGAUCAGCUCCAGAGGAAGGACCGGCUAAUCUCGUGCCAGCAGCCGCGGUAAUACGAGAGGUCCAAGCGUUAGUCGGAAUCACUGGGCUUAAAGGGUGCGUAGGCGGGCUUGUAAGUGUCUUGUGAAAUCCCAUGGCUCAACCAUGGAACUGCAGGGCAUACUGCAAGCCUUGAGGAAUCUAGAGGCCGGCAGAACGAUAGGUGGAGCGGUGGAAUGCGUAGAUAUCUAUCGGAAUGCCAAAGGUGAAGACAGCCGGCUGGGGAUUUCCUGACGCUGAGGCACGAAAGCGUGGGGAUCAAACAGGAUUAGAUACCCUGGUAGUCC
rnacentral:rRNA from 1 species